GAUGAACGCUGGCGGCGUGCCUAAUACAUGCAAGUCGAGCGAACAGACGAGGAGCUUGCUCCUCUGACGUUAGCGGCGGACGGGUGAGUAACACGUGGAUAACCUACCUAUAAGACUGGGAUAACUUCGGGAAACCGGAGCUAAUACCGGAUAAUAUAUUGAACCGCAUGGUUCAAUAGUGAAAGACGGUUUUGCUGUCACUUAUAGAUGGAUCCGCGCCGCAUUAGCUAGUUGGUAAGGUAACGGCUUACCAAGGCAACGAUGCGUAGCCGACCUGAGAGGGUGAUCGGCCACACUGGAACUGAGACACGGUCCAGACUCCUACGGGAGGCAGCAGUAGGGAAUCUUCCGCAAUGGGCGAAAGCUUGACGGAGCAACGCCGCGUGAGUGAUGAAGGUCUUCGGAUCGUAAAACUCUGUUAUUAGGGAAGAACAAAUGUGUAAGUAACUAUGCACGUCUUGACGGUACCUAAUCAGAAAGCCACGGCUAAC
rnacentral:rRNA from 1 species